GUUUGCUUUGGCUGUACACAUACUAAAACUGGAAUGAUACAGAGAAGAUUAGAUUAGCAUGGCCCCUAAGCAAGGAUGACAUGUAAAUUUGUGGAGCCUUCCAUAUUUUU